GCGAUUCUCCUGCCUCAACUUCCUGAGUAGCUGGGAUUACAGAGGGACACAACCACAAAUUAUUCUUUUAUUAGUGAAUGUAUAUACAUCUGUUGUUGCUGCUGUAAUUAGAGUGACCUUAAAUGAGAAGUCUUACCUGAGUUGUUUAACACCUUUUCGGAUAUUUGGAUGAAGAAGAAGUUUUACCUAAGGAGAUGAGGCACCAGGAUGAUACUAGGUGUGAAAAAUACCUUUACAAAAGACUCAUAGCAGAGGUCGUCAUCUAUAAUUAAGUAUAAUGUAAUAUUUCAGGCCUUACCUAAGCCCUGAUGUAGUUUAAAUUAUUUUUAAAUUGUAUAGGUUAAAAAAAUGAAUCGGGAUAGAGUUAUAUUAUUAGUCCUACAGAGCUGAUAUUAACUAAGGUUUUACUGUGUGCUAUGUCCUAGGCUAAAACACUUUAUACAAUUCAUGUAGUCAUUUUAUGAGAUAAUUUCCAUUUUUUCUGAUAAGGAACCUAAGUAAAAAAAAAAAAAAAGUAAGGUUAAGUGCCACAAAUAGUAAACAUUGGGAUCUUGGCUAUCUGACCUCAGAGCCUCAUGUUUAUUAGAAAUUAAUACAGAUGUAUUUAAUUGUGCACAUAUAUUUAAUUGACUAAUGGACAGAGGAUCCUAAUUUCAGAAGUAGAUAUUCUUGAAGUUUCAAAACAUUAAUAUUCUAUAAAAUAAAUUUUUUGUUUGAAAAGUU